GGAAGUAAAAGUCGUGACAAGGUAUCCGUAGGUGAACCUGCGGAAGGAUCAUUAUUGUAUAACCGAGGUGCGAGGGCUGUCGCUGACCCGAAAGGUCGUGCACGCCCGAGUGCCCUCACACACAUCCAUCUCACCCCUAUGUGCACCACCGCGUGGGUCCCCCUUUGGCUUGUUCGGAGGGGGGCUUACGUUUUCACACAAACUUUGUAUGCAGUGUAGAAUGUAUUUUUUGUUUUUGCGAUCACGCAAUCAAUACAACUUUCAACAACGGAUCUCUUGGCUCUU
rnacentral:misc_RNA from 1 species